CAUAAUAAAAACCUUUCCAGUAUUGGUUUAAACCCGUUACCCGAUUCACUUUCUGUUAUGCUCUCUCUCACUUUCUCUCAUCUAGUCUAUAUCUUGCUCUGCUCUCUACUCUUUCUCUGUCUCUCUCACGUGAGUCAUCUUCUUCUCCCUCUCCCCCCGAUUAACUUUCUCUAUUAUGCUCUCUCUCUCUCUCUCUCUGUCUCAUCUAGUCUAUCUCUCAACUUGCUCUCUGCUCUUUCUCUAUCUCUCUCGUGUGCGUGCCCCAACAGUGAAGCCCUAUCUCUCUCGUCUCUCUUAAUGCUCUCAUGGCUGGCAUUUCGUUAAGCCUCUCUUUUUUUUUUUUGAGAAAAAUUUUGUUAAGCCUCUCUCUCUCUCUCAAUGUCGAUUUGGGUAUUAGAAUAUAUCUUAUAUUGAGUUUGGGUUUUUCUUGCGAACUCCAUUGGGGAGAUGGCAAAUUGGAAUAUGUUUGGUGGUUUGGUGUUGAAGACGAAGGAAGUAUGUAUCAUGUUGAGUACACAUUAUUUGAACUUGGGAUUCAUAUUUUUUGAAGUAGGCUUCCUGUUCUUGUAAAAAAUUAGAAAAAAUAUAAUUUGGGUUUCAUUUAUAUAUUGGUUAUUUGGUUUUAUAUAAAAAAUUAGAAAAAAAAAUAUAGUUAUGGUUUUAUAUAUUUGUUAUCUGUCAUAUGAGUUGAGAUAAUGUGUUUUUUUAUUACUUUUUUGAUUCUAUCCCUCCACGAGGAGCCAUUAAUGAGUUGAUAGCUAGAUGCAUGCUAGCUUAUUUCUAUUCUUCCCUUUGCAUUUCCUUGUUUAAUAUAAUAGAUGUGACUUCAAUUUUUGAAGAAUUUAAAUCCACCUAGUCCUUGUAUUGCAUAACUUGAAAGAAAUCCAUUGGUUCUUUCAAACUUGAAAUUUGUAAGCCAUUGGUUUGCCUUUACAAGCAGUGUCAUUGGUUCUUUCAAACUUGAAAUUUGUCAUUUCGUCUUUGUCUCAUGUAGUACCUUUGGAUGGAGAGAAAUGGUCCGUGCUUCAAAGAUCAAGUACUCCUUAUUGGCUAUGCAAACGGAUUUGAGUGUGUAAUUACUAAGUAUUGUUGCAACUAUGACGAGGAAGAGAAUAAUAUGGAUUGGCAUUGUAUGUUUAACAUAAAUGGUUAUAAUGUAGAUCAUUUGUUGCUUCAGUCCUUACUUGCUCUGGAGUUAUGGACCCUCAUCUUAUAUUUGGCUGGCUUAUGCCUAAAUAAAUGUUUGCUUGUGUUCAUAUUUGGCUGGCUUAUGCCUAAUUAAGUGUUUAUCUCACGUAGACUAUAUGAGGGAAUGGAAUAGGCAAAUUUUUAAGGGCAAGAGUUUCCAUCAAUAGAAUACUUUCAUAUGCAGCCUGUAUACCUUAUUUAUGAUUAUUUAUAAGAUGAUAUUUACUAAUUAAGAAGUAAGAUAAUUUGCUAGUUCUAUUGACCAUCAUCUUCACCCAGCUGUAUAACCUAUAAAAAAAUCUUUACCCUACUUCAUGUGGGACACAUUGGUUUAGUGAUUGUUUUGAGGUUUCUUUUAGUUGUUACCAUAGUGGAUCUCUAACACUCAAAAUAAUCACACGCCCACCAUAUUUACCAUGAUAGAAUUCCUGUUGGAGCUCUGUGGCUUAUCAUUUUGGACAAUUGUUUUUUACAGCAUUCUUAUAUUCUUCUAGUCCAUAUAUUGCUAGCUGCAUUGUGGAAUUUGUGGGUUGUUGUAGGGGUUACAAACAAUAUUUAUUUAACUGAUUUUUAUAUGUUUUGCUUUAUAUAUAUUAAUGUGCAAGGGGAUGCCGUGGCAUGUAAUAGAAGCUCGACGUGCAGUGGGAGCAGUGAAGGAGAUCUGGCAUCAAGUAGUCCAGAAGUUUUUCCUAAACUAAUAAUCAUCAGUCAUGACAAUGACUUGUAAUUUUAUAUUUUGUAAUGUAAUUGUUUUAUAAUAUAAUGUAUAAAAUAUCAAAUAAUGUAAUAUAUAUAUAUGUACAGUGAAUUGUAUUAUGUGUUGCAUGUAUUUUAUAUGAUAAAUAUUGAAUUUCUUUUUUUUUUUA